CGUAGGGUGCGAGCGUUGCCCGGAUUUAUUGGGCGUAAAGGGCGCGUAGGCGGCUCGGCACGUCCGUUGUGAAAUCGCCCGGCUCAACUGGGCGGGGUCAGCGGAUACGGUCGAGCUUGAGCAAGCUAGGGGGUAAUGGAAUUCCCGGUGUAGUGGUGGAAUGCGUAGAUAUCGGGAGGAACACCAGUGGCGAAGGCGGUUACCUGGGGCUUUGCUGACGCUGAUGCGCGAAAGCGUGGGGAGCGAUCCGGAUUAGAUACCCGGGUAGUCCACGCCGUAAACGAUGCGGACUAGGUGUCGGGGGUAUCGACCCCCUCGGCGCCGCAGCUAACGCAUUAAGUCCGCCGCCUGGGGAGUACGGCCGCAAGGCUA
rnacentral:rRNA from 1 species